rnacentral:rRNA from 1 species
GGAGGGUGCGAGCGUUGUCCGGAUUUAUUGGGUUUAAAGGGUGCGUAGGUGGCUGUUUAAGUCAGUGGUGAAAUACGGUUGCUCAACAAUCGAGGUGCCAUUGAUACUGAAUAGCUUGAAAUAAUUGGAGGCUGCCGGAAUGGAUGGUGUAGCGGUGAAAUGCAUAGAUAUCAUCCAGAACACCGAUUGCGAAGGCAAGUGGCUACGAUUUAUUUGACACUGAGGCACGAAAGCAUGGGGAGCAAACAGGAUUAGAUACCCUGGUAGUCCAUGCCGUAAACGAUGAGGACUCGCUGUUGGUGUUCAUGCAUCAGCGGCUUAGGGAAACCGUUAAGUCCUCCACCUGGGGAGUACGCCGGCAACGGUG